GAAGCGCGCCAGACCGUCGCUGGCACGAGACCCGAAAGGGUGUGCUGGAGGAACGUCCGGACUGCACAGGACAGCGUAGGAGGUAACACCUCUCCACCGAUCAGCCUGCCAAGGCCCUAAGGUGAGGAUUAGAGCAACAGAGACGAGCCGCUUGAGUGCGGGUGAAACGGGCAAUCUCUACGCGCAGCAAUACCAAAUAGGCCAACGCAGCGGCAACGCUGCCCUGUGGUUCCGCAGGGAUCGUUGGCGGGUAGGUAGCACCGAGCCGUCUGGGCAACCAGCGGCCCAGAGGAAUGGCGGUCACGUCGGGGGCGACCUCGGCGCACAGAAUCCGGCGUAACGGCGCGCUUCACUU
rnacentral:RNase_P_RNA from 1 species